UUAUCUAAAGCAAUGGGAUCAAGGCAAAAAUUUUUACCAAAAAUUAAUGGCAUUGCCAUUGCUUCCAUCAGAAGACAUGCAAGCCGCUUACGAUUGGCUCGUCAGCAAUGCUACACCAGAGCAAAAAAUCUUUUUUAAAAAUAUCCUGCAGUAUAUCAGCAGGUAUUGGUUGUCUCGAGUAGGUGUCAGAAACUUCUGUGUUUUUGGUCACAAACGCCGGACAAACAAUCCAAUUGAAGCAUAUCACCGUACGUUGAGGAGUAAAAUUGGUCGUCGACCACCAAUUUGAAAAUUUACUGAAAAACUAGUCACAAUGGUAUCAGUGGUAAAAUCUGAAGUGAUUUCUCUUGAUAAUUUGGAGCAUGUACGACGUCCUGUCGAAAAACGUUAUAUGCCAUGCAGGAGAAGAUAAUUCAGCGAUGUUGGGAGCUGUAUGAAAAUGGUGUUUUUGAUAUUCCCAAGUUUUUCUCCUGUUCUAAUCAUUUACUGAGAGCAUACCAAAAACAACUACUCGUCCAAAGCCUUGCAGAUGUAGAUUACUUUGUUGUAGCUCCAACACAUGACAUAAGUAAGUCAAUUAUCCAAUAAAUCGGUGCAUUUUUUAAAUAAAAAUUUUGGUUUUUUUGCUCUGAAUUUCACUUACACUCAAAUACUUAUUAGAAAUGAAAAUACUUCAUUAUUUUAGAUGCUCUAGUUCCAUUGAACCCAGUUGUUAUUGAGGAAAUGCCUCCAGAUUUUGGAAGGCUUCCAAUUUUGACUCUUGGAAAUGGCCAACUUGUUCCAAUCUUAUUAUUUCGUGAUCUCAAUAUGUCGCAGUGUAAAAUAUGCUUGAAUAGGAUUGUUGAAUACGUGACGAUUCCAUGCAAUCAUUGGUAUUGUUGUAAGCAAUGUACUUACAAACUCCGACAACUUGCUAUAAAUAAUGAAUCUGCAUUGCGUUGCAUCGUCUGUCAAGACCCUAUUAUAGCAUUCAA